UACGAAGGGUGCAAACGUUGCUCGGAAUCAUUGGGCGUAAAGCGCACGUAGGCGGCGGCGUAAGCGGGAUGUGAAAGCCCAGGGCUCAACCCUGGAAGUGCAUCCCGAACUGUGUCGCUUGAAUCUCGGAGGGGGACAGAGAAUUCCCGGUGUAGAGGUGAAAUUCGUAGAUAUCGGGAGGAAUACCAGUGGCGAAGGCGCUGUCCUGGACGAAGAUUGACGCUGAGGUGCGAAAGCGUGGGGAGCAAACAGG
rnacentral:rRNA from 1 species